rnacentral:rRNA from 1 species
UCAGCUCGUGUCGUGAGAUGUUGGGUUAAGUCCCGCAACGAGCGCAACCCUCGCCUCUAGUUGCCAGCAUCGGUUGGGCACUCUAGAGGGACUGCCGGCGACAAGUCGGAGGAAGGUGGGGAUGACGUCAAAUCAUCAUGCCCCUUAUGACCUGGGCUACACACGUGCUACAAUGGGCGGUACAAAGGGCUGCGAACCCGCGAGGGGGAGCGAAUCCCAAAAAGCCGCUCUCAGUUCGGAUUGCAGGCUGCAACUCGCCUGCAUGAAGCCGGAAUCGCUAGUAAUCGCGGAUCAGCAUGCCGCGGUCGAAUACGUUCCCGGGCCUU